CUCGGCACCUCUGGAAAGCCCGGGAUCGACCCCCAGGUCGUGACCGGCACCGACGGAGCAAGCGGGCCCACCCGCGGAAACUCUCAGGUCCCAUGACAGAGCGGGGAGG
rnacentral:ncRNA from 2 species